CUCGGUGGAAGACCUUCCCUU
rnacentral:miRNA from 1 species